rnacentral:rRNA from 1 species
UACGUAGGGUGCAAGCGUUGUCCGGAAUUAUUGGGCGUAAAGAGCUCGUAGGCGGUCUGUCGCGUCUGGUGUGAAAAUCCAGGGCUUAACCCUGGACCUGCAUCGGGUACGGGCAGACUAGAGUGCGGUAGGGGAGAUCGGAAUUCCUGGUGUAGCGGUGAAAUGCGCAGAUAUCAGGAGGAACACCGGUGGCGAAGGCGGAUCUCUGGGCCGUAACUGACGCUGAGGAGCGAAAGCAUGGGGAGCAAACAGG